rnacentral:pre_miRNA from 1 species
AGAUGUAUCAGCUCAGGAUUUUACUAAAAUGCAGAUUCUGCUUCAGCAGAUCUGGGCUGGGGGUGUCAUUCUGCAUUUCUAACAAGCUCUAUGUGAUGCUGCU